rnacentral:rRNA from 1 species
UACGGGGGGAGCAAGCGUUGUUCGGAUUUACUGGGCGUAAAGGGCGCGUAGGCGGCGUGACAAGUCACUUGUGAAAUCUCCGGGCUUAACCCGGAGCGGCAAAGUGAUACUGUCGUGCUAGAGUGCGGAAGGGGCUACUGGAAUUCUCGGUGUAGCGGUGAAAUGCGUAGAUAUCGAGAGGAACACCUGCGGCGAAGGCGGGUAGCUGGGCCGACACUGACGCUGAGGCGCGAAAGCCAGGGGAGCGAACGGG